GAGAGGGUCUCGCGGCCUAUCAGCUAGUUGGUGGGGUAACGGCCUACCAAGGCAACGACGGGUAGCUGGUUUGAGAGAACGAUCAGCCACACUGGGACUGAGACACGGCCCAGACUCCUACGGGAGGCAGCAGUGGGGAAUCUUGCGCAAUGGGCGAAAGCCUGACGCAGCAACGCCGCGUGCGGGAUGACGGCCUUCGUGGUUGUAAACCGCUUUCAGCAGGGACGAAAAUGACGGUACCUGCAGAAGAAGCCCCGGCUAACUACGUGCCAGCAGCCGCGGUAAUACGUAGGGGGCGAGCGUUGUCCGGAAUCAUUGGGCGUAAAGAGCUCGUAGGCGGUUCAGUAAGUCGGGUGUGAAAGCUCCGAGCUCAACUCGGAGAGGCCACCCGAUACUGCUGUGACUAGAAUCCAGUAGGGGAGCGUGGAACUCCUGGUGUAGCGGUGAAAUGCGCAGAUAUCAGGAAGAACACCAGCGGCGAAGGCGGCGCUCUGGGCUGGAAUUGACGCUGAGGAGCGAAAGUGUGGGUAGCAAACAGGAUUAGAUACCCUGGUAGUCC
rnacentral:rRNA from 1 species